GCCGCCCGCGCAGACCUGGAGCGCGGCCGCGGACGAAGAUGGCGACCGCCAUGUACUUGGAGCACUACCUGGACAGCAUCGAGAAUCUUCCCUGUGAGCUUCAGCGGAACUUCCAGCUGAUGCGAGAGCUGGACCAGAGGACAGAAGACAAGAAAGCCGAGAUUGACAUCCUGGCCGCAGAGUACAUCUCCACAGUGAAGGCUCUGUCCCCGGACCAGCGCGUGGAGCACCUGCAGAAGAUCCAGAGCGCCUACAGCAAGUGCAAGGAGUACAGCGACGACAAGGUGCAGCUGGCCAUGCAGACCUAUGAGAUGGUGGACAAGCACAUCCGGAGGCUGGACGCGGACCUGGCUCGCUUCGAGGCGGACCUGAAGGACAAGCUGGAGGGCAGCGACUUCGAAGGCUCCGGAGGACGGGGGCUAAAAAAAGGUCGAGGCCAGAAAGAAAAGAGGGGCUCCCGGGGCCGUGGCAGGAGGACCUCAGAAGAAGACACCCCGAAGAAGAAGAAGCAUAAAGGAGGGGUCUGGAAACGCUUGUCUCCGACAGCUGUCUGGUUUUCCGCUUGUUCUGGUGGGCGGGCGAGUUCCGACCUGUUAUCCCGUCGUGGUCCUUUUUUAGGUCUGAGUUCACUGACACCAUCCUGUCUGUGCAUCCCUCUGACGUGCUGGACAUGCCCGUGGACCCGAACGAGCCCACCUACUGCCUGUGCCACCAGGUGUCCUACGGGGAGAUGAUCGGCUGUGACAACCCAGACUGCCCCAUCGAGUGGUUUCACUUCGCCUGUGUGGACCUGACCACGAAGCCCAAAGGAAAAUGGUUCUGUCCACGGUGUGUUCAGGAAAGGAGGAAGAAGAAGUAAGGGAGAGGCGGACACCUGGACCAGAGGAGCAAGUUAAUCUAUUCCUUCAUUCAUGUUGCAAUAUCUUAUCUUCAUUUUAAAACUACCUUGUUUCCAAUGAUAUUUAAUAACUCAACGGCCAGUUGUAAUUCUGGAUGUUUCCAAAACAAACAGGAAACCACCUGAGCCCUGCUGCCCAGAGGACUGAUCUCAUGGGGACUUGCCACAGCGACUCCUAUUCUCAUGACUUUUCGUACAGACCCCUGGCCCCGAGCACGGCGGUCACACUGAGUGGCCCCGGGACGCGUGGGGUGUGCGUGCAUGGUACACGGCCAGCGCUUUGCAGCUGGAGGUGUGAGCCCUGGUCGUCUGUCUGUGGUUUCCGGGGGCAGCUCCCCGAGAGCCCGGCGCCACCACGAGCACCUCUGACCCUCGCCGAGAGCCGGUGCAUGUGGAGCCCGGCGAUGAGCCUGGGAAGGGCCGGCUCUCCCCAGGGCGGGCGGGGCUCUCAGCCUCACUGUGCACUGCCUUUCCGUCUGGACUCCGGUUCCCUCCGUGAGGGGUUUACUUUCUGGAGUAAACGGCUCUCCAUCAGCAGUCGGGCUGUCAGUUACCAGGAGGGGUACCGAGGAGAGACGGCCCAGCAGACGGGCUGAGGUUCUGUUUCUCUGGGAAUUCCUGGCGUUUUUACUGUGAAGGUGUGUUACCGUGACAGCAUGAAGAUGGUGUCUGUGUGCAUAUGAAGUGAGUCCAGGCUGCUGGGGGCUGAUUUGAAACCUGUUUAUUUGCUCAGCAGAUCAGCAGCUUAGACCCAGGAGACAAUGAUGUGAUGUGAUUUGUGAAUUUCUUGUUCCGCAAUAGCAGUUCUGGAUGAAGCUAGGAAACUAGAGUGUCCUUUCUCUUUAAUCAGCAUUCACCAGACCAGCUCUGAACCAUCGUCUUGGCAGGAGUUGGGGGAGACUGCAUACACUUGGUGUGUCGAUUCUCUGUGUGAUGGUCCACGACGCGUGACUUCUGCAGGUGUCCUCGGACUUGCGCGCCUCUAACUCUAGUGCGUUUACGGGAGGCAGAGGGGAAACCUGUGUCUGUCUUCAGGCCAGAAGUGCAGGAGACAGGCUUGGGCUGAGGUUCCCGACUUAGAAGAACCUUGUUUUCUUUAUAAGGAAGGCUGUCUCAACGAUACUCCCGCUUCCUCCUGACGGCCUUGUCACCGCAGAUGCUCCUCCUGUUUCCCGAUGCCCCCCGAGGAGAGGAAGGAAAGCAGAGGGGACCCUGUGAGGCUGCGUCCUAGACGGGGCCGCUCCCCGCAGUCAGUUACCAUUCGGCAGAUGAAAGUGGGGUCUGGCUGGGGUGUGUGUCCGAGCUGCCCAGCGGGGCUCAGCCUGCGCCCCUGUGUCCAGCUCUGUCCUUUCCGAAGGGAGCUGACGGAGCGGCACGUGCUUCUGAUGACCGUGGGCAGGUCGGUUCAGCACGUGCGACCCGUCCGGUCUCGGGCUGGGGGUGGGGCUCGGCCGCUGCUGCAGCUCGUCCCUGGGGGGUCCCUGGGCCACACGGCUUGCUAGGACCGAUGCCCCCUGCUGCCCCAAGGAAGGGGGUCUGCGUCCGGACAGGUGCCGUUGGCACCGUCUCAGCCUCGGCCAGAAACCCAGCGUGGGUAGUUAAUAGCUGAGGUUUUCGUUAACACAGGUGUUUAAAGAUGGUGGGAAAUAAAUUGUGGAAAAAUUUUUUCUUCACUCUUUUACCUGCUUUUGUGAAGAGGUAGGUAAGUACGUAAGUUUGUGGUGAUUCUGUGGAAGCUAAUUUGACAUUUGCACUUCAUCUUUGAACACCUCGCACCCGCUGUUAUCGUGGGAAAGUGACAGUGUUUGUGGACACAGGUCGCUGGCCGAUGCAGCUGUGAUUGUCACCCGGUUUCCUGAGGCCGCGGUCAUUUCCCAGGAAGGAUGACCGACUUCUCCGUCUUAAGUUUUUGUUUAAAGUUCGAUGGUGUCAUCCUGCUUGUCACUGUGUAACAUCCCAUGUGUGGACCUUUUUUUUUUUUUCAAAGUUUUCUGUGCUUAUAUGUUUCUAGUGUUUACUUUUGCUGGUUACAAUAAUAUCACCAAAAUAAUAUGCAUGUAGCUUAGGAGAAAAUGGAAAACGUGAGCAGAAUAGAAGGAGUCCCUGGAACACUGUUUGGACCACAACCAAAUGCCUCCCCGACCGCCAGUGCUGCCUGUGAGUCAGAAGGCACUUGGGUGGCUGUGUGGUCGGGGACGUCCUGGCCUGAGGGGUCAGCUGCAGCCCAGCUGCUCGCACCGUCUGAGCACCGCGCCCCGAGGCCCGCUGCCUUCAUCAGGAUGCUCCAGGGCUCCAGGGCUGGCGCUGGAGGCGGCCCUGGGCUGACCCAGCAGGUCACGGUCGCCGCGUCUCUGAGCGAGCGAGGGUGCAGGCCCUCUGAGGCAUGGGGCUUGCUUGUGAGGGAAGAGGUUCUCAUGCAGAGGAGAAGGGGUCGUUCCCUUGUUUCCAGUUCUGUCUUGUGCGUCAGCAGUUGGAGAAGCAUCCCCUCGUUUUUCUGCAGGAGAACACACGCUGCACCGACAAAAGCAGGUGUUAAACUGAGCCCCUGCCCCUGUGGCCGAGCUCGUGGGGCUUGUGGUGACUGUCCCCGCUGCCGGCUAGGCCCCGAGCAGGCGGACACGAACCUGGUGCUGGCAGGGCCACGUGAGCCGGGUGGCUUCCCAUCUGCCCAGGGCAGCAGACGCCAGGACGCGGCCCCAGGCAGCAGAGACGGUGGGGGGGGCUGCGGGGGUGCGUGGGGACAGUGGCCGGCUGUGUGUCAGUCCUGCCUCCUGACCCGUCACCGGCAGCCCUCGGCAAGGCCUUCUUCGAGCAAUAACGCCGUCCAAAGAGCAGCUUCCCCGUGUGGCCACAGCCAGGGUCCGCCCCGGCGCAGGGCUGGGACACUUGUGGGUGGAAGGUUUCAGGUUUUCCUCAAGUUGUAGUGAACAGUGGUUGGUCUUCAUUACCUGUGCCGAGAGAAAUUCUAGAAGUGUAGAGAAACGACAUCGUUCGGGAGAGAGCUCUGCGAAGCCUCUUCCUCCCUGGCGUGUAUCCUUGGUGUUCAUUUAACCGCACCUCAUCCCAAAAGAUGAUGCAGCUUUAACAUGAAUGUUACAUUGUGUUUUCAAGGAAUUAUUAUUCAUGUUCUCUUUGUAAAGGAAAGAUAAUAUUGUAAAUCUUUUUAUUAAAUAAUGUAAAGAUGUAUAUCUGUAUUUUUGGAUCAUGUUAUAGAUUAUGGAUAUAUUGUUUAAUGAAUAAAGUAUUUUUUGGAACAAA